UGCGUAGGCGGAUCAAUAAGUCAGUGGUGAAAUCUCUCGGCUCAACCGGGAAACUGCCAUUGAUACUGUUGAUCUUGAGUUCGGUUGAGGUAGGCGGAAUGUGUAAUGUAGCGGUGAAAUGCUUAGAUAUUACACAGAACACCAAUUGCGUAGGCAGCUUACUAGACCGACACUGACGCUGAGGCACGAAAGCGUGGGGAGCGAACAGGAUUAGAUGCCCUGGUAGUCC
rnacentral:rRNA from 1 species